rnacentral:rRNA from 1 species
AUUGAACGCUGGCGGAAUGCUUUACACAUGCAAGUCGAGCGGCAGCACGGGGGCAACCCUGGUGGCGAGCGGCGAACGGGUGAGUAAUACAUCGGAACAUGCCCAGUCGUGGGGGAUAACACUUCGAAAGAAGUGCUAAUACCGCAUACGUCCUGAGGGGGAAAGCGGGGGAUCGCAAGACCUCGCGCGAUUGGAGUGGCCGAUGUCAGAUUAGCUAGUUGGUGGGGUAAAGGCCUACCAAGGCAACGAUCUGUAGCUGGUCUGAGAGGAUGAUCAGCCACACUGGGACUGAGACACGGCCCAGACUCCUACGGGAGGCAGCAGUGGGGAAUUUUGGACAAUGGGGGCAACCCUGAUCCAGCCAUUCCGCGUGAGUGAAGAAGGCCUUCGGGUUGUAAAACUCUUUCGGCAGGAACGAAACGGUGAGCUCUAACAUAGCUUGCUAAUGACGGUACCUGAAGAAGAAGCACCGGCUAACUACGUG